rnacentral:rRNA from 1 species
UACGAAGGGGGCUAGCGUUGCUCGGAAUUACUGGGCGUAAAGCGCGCGCAGGCGGCUAUCCAAGUCAGUGGUGAAAGCCCGGAGCUCAACUCCGGAACUGCCAUUGAAACUGUUUAGCUUGAGGAUGAGAGAGGUGAGUGGAAUUCCCAGUGUAGAGGUGAAAUUCGUAGAUAUUGGGAAGAACACCAGUGGCGAAGGCGGCUCACUGGCCCGGUACUGACGCUGAGGUGCGAAAGCGUGGGGAGCAAACAGG